AGAGGGGUGCGAGCGUUAAUCGGAAUUACUGGGUGUAAAGGGCGCGUAGGGGUGGAUGAGUAUGUUAGAUGUGAAAGCCCCGGGCUUAACCUGGGAAUGCCAUUUAAAACGGCUUAUCUAGAGUAUGGAAGAGGGAAGUGGAAUUUCCGGUGUAGCGGUGAAAUGCGUAGAUAUCGGAAGGAACACCAGUGGCGAAGGCGACUUCCUGGCCCAAUACUGACACUGAGGUGCGAAAGCGUGGGUAGCGAACAGGAUUAGAUACCCUGGUAGUCCACGCUGUAAACGAUGAGAACUAGCCGUUGGUGAAGUAAAAAUCACUUGUGGCGCAGCAAACGCGAUAAGUUCUCCGCCUGGGGAGUACGGCCGCAAGGUUA
rnacentral:rRNA from 1 species